ACUUGUGGCAGGCAAGCGUUCUUAGCAACAUCGCUUUUUAAUCCUUCGAUAUCGGCUCUUCCUAUCAUUGCAAAGCAGAAUUCGCCAAGCGAUGGAUUGUUAACCCACUAAUAAUGAACGUGAGCUGGGUUUAGACUGUCCUGAGACAGGUU
rnacentral:ncRNA from 1 species